rfam:Echinostoma caproni strain Egypt genome assembly, scaffold: ECPE_scaffold0038135
GGCCCUGUGGCCUAAUGGAUAAGGCGUCUGACUUCGAAUCAGAGGGUUGCAGGUUCGAGUCCUGCCAGGGUCG